rnacentral:tRNA from 1 species
GGGAGUGUGGCUUACUGGUAGAGUGCUUGCUUAGUAUGCAUGAAGCCCUGGGUUCAAUUCCUCAGCACCA